rnacentral:rRNA from 1 species
CGCAUACGUCCUGAGGGAGAAAGUGGGGGAUCUUCGGACCUCACGCUAUCAGAUGAGCCUAGGUCGGAUUAGCUAGUUGGUGGGGUAAAGGCCUACCAAGGCGACGAUCCGUAACUGGUCUGAGAGGAUGAUCAGUCACACUGGAACUGAGACACGGUCCAGACUCCUACGGGAGGCAGCAGUGGGGAAUAUUGGACAAUGGGCGAAAGCCUGAUCCAGCCAUGCCGCGUGUGUGAAGAAGGUCUUCGGAUUGUAAAGCACUUUAAGUUGGGAGGAAGGGCAGUAAGUUAAUACCUUGCUGUUUUGACGUUACCAACAGAAUAAGCACCGGCUAACUUCGUGCCAGCAGCCGCGGUAAUACGAAGGGUGCAAGCGUUAAUCGGAAUUACUGGGCGUAAAGCGCGCGUAGGUGGUUCAGCAAGUUGGAUGUGAAAUCCCCGGGCUCAACCUGGGAACUGCAUCCAAAACUACUGAGCUAGAGUACGGUAGAGGGUGGUGGAAUUUCCUGUGUAGCGGUGAAAUGCGUAGAUAUAGGAAGGAACACCAGUGGCGAAGGCGACCACCUGGACUGAUACUG